AGCAGCCGCGGUAAUUCCAGCUCCAAUAGCGUAUAUUAAAGUUGUUGUAGUUAAAAAGCUCGUAGUUGAAUUUCGGGAUCAAUGUUUCGGUCAUGCCCUUGGUAUGUACUGAUAUUAUUGGUUUCUCACCUUCUAGAGAACCGUAAUGCCAUUAAUUUGGUGUCACGGGGAAUUAGGACUGUUACCUUGAAAAAAUUAGAGUGUUUAAAGCAGGCUCACGCUUGAAUACAUUAGCAUGGAAUAAUGAAAUAGGACAUCCGAUUCUAUUUUGUUGGUUUCUAGGAUCGAUGUAAUGAUUAAUAGGGAUAGUUGGGGGCAUUAGUAUUCAAUUGUCAGAGGUGAAAUUCUUGGAUUUAUUGAAGACUAACUACUGCGAAAGCAUUUGCCAAGGAUGUUUUCAUUAAUCAAGAACGAAAGUUAGGGGAUCGAAGACGAUCAGACACCGUCGUAGUCUUAACCAUAAACUAUGCCGACUAGGGAUCGGAUGAUGUUAAUUUUUUAAUGACUCA
rnacentral:rRNA from 1 species